UUAACUCAUAUUUGUAUGGAUUUGGAAUGUUUCCCUACGUUUGCCGCUAGGGGCGCUGUUCUAACUGCAUACAAAUUUGAGUUA
rnacentral:pre_miRNA from 1 species